GUGUGGAUACAAUUCGAGUAUGGUGAGUUUCUGUGGAAGACUCAGGAAAUUCAUGCAAGGACCACUGUUGCAAUUGCACUGGAUUGGAUGACUUGCUCAAGCUGUUCCCCUUCAGUGUUUUCCCAUAUUUCAGCUGCUUCAAUGGCUUCAAGAGAGGGUUUGCAGAUGAUCUGUGGCUUGGAGCUGCAACUAUCAGGGUCAGCAUCAUCAGGGUCUGGUUCACCAGCUUCUGCAAGAGGAGGAUUAAGAGUCUCAAAGCAGAUGACACCUUCAAAGCAAUCCUCCAAGCCCAACCUUGUGAGAACUUGAGCCACAUGUGCCUUAUCAGCAUUAGUGAAGAUCUGAUUACACCAGAAUAACUCUCAGAAUUGCUAUGGAAACUGGAAAGCCAUACCUUCGAUGUUCUUGCGGCAAGCUGAGUUGAUGCCUGUGCUCAUGGGAUAAAGUGUGUCAUCCAUGUCUGAAAAACAUAUAAAGAACCCCAUAUCAGUGACCCUUUUAUUCUGUUCGACUCUAAAUAAAACAUUUUUUUCUCAGAAUCUUGGACUCUUCUGAGUAAUUCAAAUUU